CACACACACACACACACACACACAAACAGAAAAACAUGCAAAUCCAUGCAAGCAGUCAUGAGUUGAAUUUGUUUAAACGUGGCAAAAUUCGGAUCGGGCGCCAAUACUUUCAAGAGCCGCCCGCAUAGGGUGCCAAUACUUCCGAGAGCCAGCCGCUAAUGGUGCCAAUACUUUUGAGAGCCGGCCGUGUAGGGUGCCAAUACUUUCGAGAGCCGGACACGUAGGGCGCCAAUACUUUUGAGAGCCAGACACAUCGGGUACCAAUACUUUUGAGAGCCAUUGGCGUCCGGCGCCAAUACUUUUGAGAGCCGGACUCAUAGGUCACCAAUACUUUUGAGAGCCAGACGCAUAGGGAGCCAAUACUUUCGGGAGCCGGAGGCACAGGGCACCAAUACUUUUGAGAGACGGCCGUGUAGUGUAGCUAUAAUUUUUAGAGCCGGCCAUGUAGGGUGAAAAUACUUUGGAGAGCCAGCCAUGCGGGGUUCCAAUACUUUUGAGAGCCUUCCAGAUAGGGCACGAAUACUUCUGAGAGCCGGCCUUUAAAUUCUUUCGCAACUCAAUGCAAGUCUAUGGGAAAUUUUCCGACUUUGAGCUUCCGUACCAGGAAUCCCGGCAUUCCGAUCGCUUCCAAAAGUCAUAGCACACCUCUCCUCAAUAAGCCGAUCGAUUUGACACCUCACCCGCCGAUCUCCGACAAAUGCAUUCGAGAGCCAAAAGCGUAGGGCGCCAAUACUUUCAAGUGCCGGACACUAAGGGCGCCAAUACUUUCGAGAGCCGGACAGAUAGGGCGUCAGCAUUGUUAGAGCCGUCCGUAUAGUGCGCCAAUACUUUUUAGAGCCGACCGUCAAGGGCACCAGUACUUUUCAGAGUUGGCUGUGUGGGGUGCCAAUACUUUUGAGCGCCGGCCGGGUAGGGUGCCAAUACUUCUGAGAGCCGAACAGAUCGUGUGCUAACACAUUUUAGUACCUCCUCAAUCAACUCCACUUCUCAAUGCCCAUGACUUACUUUAACAGAAAGGGGAAAAAAAUGCAGAGAGAUGGACUAUGGCUGUUACAGAAGAUAUGUCAAAUUACCAUUCACUCCCACAGUAAGUUUAAUACAAACUUGUCACUUUUGACUUUUUUCACUUUUAAUUUAAAAUGAUGCAAAGUAUGGGAUUAUUAUUAUUAUCAUUCUUUUUUAAAUAAUAAUAAUGAAAAAAUAGAUUUAUUACUUUAAACGGAUUUGCCUCAUCACAAAAGACUGUGUAAAGGAUCCACACCGAAGGUGUGAUUCUAUUGGCUGUAGAAUCAAAACUUGCUCCUGAUUGGCUGGAAAAACGACAACCUGGAGCUGUUGCUGAGCGUUCGUCCCACUCUUCUCUUGAGACUGACUGAUCAGUGCACAACUUGCAUUUUUCACUGCACCUUGGUUCCUUGCGUUUUGGCUUUUUCUACAGAGAGCAGUUCAUUGUUACUAUACCUUUUAUUGUUCUUUUAUUGAAAAAAAAAAAACCUAAAAAAAACCUAAAAAAAAUUGUUUACUGCAUUUUACAAGUUAUAUUUACACAGUGUCUAUUUCAUUGUUGCUUGACUGUUUUUUCUUCCUGAGACUACUUUGCAGGUUUUAUUCUUUCAGGCUCAACAGCUGUUACAUCAGGACAGAACUUUCAAAGAUGCCACGUAAAGGAAAUAGACCUCAGGCUCAAAAAAUGCGUUGGAGAAAGGUGGACCUGGAAAAUGAACAGGUUCAACAGCCAAGUGUCAAUGCUGCUGUUGCUCAGUUUUCUGAUGGAUUGUGUGUAGAAGGUGGUGAUAGUGCACUCAUAGUUUUGUCUGUGCAGGCAUCUCAUUGUCAGAGUGAUGUAAGGUACAAUGUCUAUUCCAGAAAUCAUCAGUGCACAUGUGUAGCGCUGACAUUCUUGGCCUACUACAGUGAAGGGAUUCAGUUCGAGAUGCCUAACCUUGAUGGAGUUUUAGAGGAGGGGGAUGCUUUGUAUGUCGGUGUUAAAAUGCAGCUUCGUGCCGAAGGAAGGUUUGGUCAGGAUCAUCUGACUAUGGAGGAAGUACCGCUGAGUGUUUCAACGUUUAACCGAACACAUCAUGUGCGGAAGUCUGAAGUGAUGCUGGGAUACCUGAGAGCCAGAGGGACCCUUGACAUGGAAGGGUGGUGGAUUCCUCGUACUGAAAAACUGCAGUGUCUCUUAACUGAUGUCAGUCAUGCACUGCUCAUUGUUGCUCCAGAUUGUAUUGCUGUGUUCAGAGACAGAUCUGGAAGGUAUGGGUUCUUUGAUUCACACUCAAGAACUGCCGACAGGUUGCCCCAUCCUACUGGUGUUGGUACUGCAGUCAUGUUAACUUUUAUGCACCUAAGUGACAUGAUUGACAGAAUUCUCAAGCUCUUCUGGGAUUGUGGUGAUGAGGCCAGCUAUGAAUUCAUGCCUGUGUCAUUUGAACCGGAGCAACAAUCUGGAAAACUGCCUUCACCGUCAGCUUGUGAACCAGUGUCAAUGUUGGAGCUGAAAAUAUUGUUCCCCCAGAAGCCGAAAACCAGCAGAUGAUAGUUAAAAAAAAUAAGCACAGGAGAAGAAAAGACAUGUGUAAAGCAAUUAACAUUUUAAAACAAUGUGGAGGACCUAAGGACACAACUGCAUAUCAUGUCAUGAGAAAGCAAAAAAAGGGGAAUUAUGAUAGAAAUGGGUAUAUACAAUUCCGGACAAGUAAAAAAGAAGCUGUUAAGGAAAAAUACAAUCAGGAUCCUCAAUUCAGAAACAACAAGAAAGAUUACAUGGCUAGAUGGUACAAAAUGGAUGAGGUUGUUCAGGCAAAGAAGAAAGAGUAUAUCGUGAGGAGGUACAUCACGGAUACUGUCUUCCAGAACAAAAUGAAAGACUACAUGGUCAAGAGAUAUGCAGGUGACUCAGAGUUCGGAGCACAUCACAUACUAAGAUGCAUUGUUCAAUUCCAAUGUGAUUUUGCUGAAGCGUGAUCCAAAGGAGUCUUGGGUGAAUGGAUACAAUCCCAAUUUGUUGAGGGCAUGGAAUGCUAACAUGGACAUUCAGUACAUUCUGGAGCCCUUUAGCUGCAUCAUGUACGUUUUGUCAUAUAUUUCUAAGCCAAGCCAGAGCACGAAAUGAACGAUUUGCUGAAGAACGUAAUCAAGCGUGUGCGUGAAAAAAGCGUUAACGAGGAAGAUGAAAUGAAGCACAUAAUGCAGGCCUACUCCAAACACAGGCAAGUAAGUGCUCAGGAGUCUGUGGCACGAAGGUGCAGCUUACCGAUGAAGUGUUCAUGGAGCGUUGUGUUUAUACCGACGGAUGAUGAUGCGCUGGAGAUGAGUCUUCCCCUUAGUGUCCUGCAAAACAAACAUCCUGAUUCAGAGGAUGUCUGGAUGUCAGGGAUAAUGGAUAAAUACAGAGCAAGGCCUCAAACACGGGAGUUUGAAAAGCUGUGUCUGGCAUGUGUGGAGCGUCGUACACAGCGUGGUUUCCUGAUGCCUGUUCGUGCCAUAGUGAAAGCACACCAGGAGAAGUUCGAAAAACACCGCAACAAAGUGGAUAAGGCUUUUGAUCAGCUGCAACAGCAAGGACCAUCUGAGAACGCAUGGACUGCUUUUGCACCUGAAAUUGAAGUGGAUCGUUUGGAGUGCAUGGCAGAACAAGAAGACAUCAAUACAGGCGACGAGAAUGUAGAAGAUGAUAUCCCAGAAUAUCAGAUUCUGCAAGACUGAGAUGGAGUCGUGCCACAAAUAGAGGCACCACAAUUGACUAUUGAAUUUGUUAGGAAGUUGUUCAGAAGUCUAAUUGAGAUGCAGGCAGCCAUAUUUUACACUGUCUGCCAGUGGUGUCAGAAGCGUGUGUGGGGACAUAAUCCAGAACCAUUUUUUUACUUUGUAUCAGGUGGUGCUGGUUGUGGCAAAUCGCACGUGAUUAAGUGCAUCUACACUGAGGCGUCCAAGAUUCUGCAACAACUGCCUCGACUCCGGGAGCAAGGGGAUCUCUCCAUACCUACAGUGCUAUUGAGUGCAUUUACUGGAACAGCAGCAUUCAAUAUUUUUGGUCAAACGCUGCAUUCCAUUUUAAAACUUCCGAAGAAUGUAAACCCACCAUAUCAAGGACUUGGAAAUUCCCUAGAUGAACUACGUGCUAGAUUACGCGACGUGGAGAUUCUGAUCAUUGAUGAAGUGUCCAUGAUUUCGAAGGAACUUUUUGCCUACGUAAACUAGAGAUUUCAGCAGCUCAAAGGCAGCAAGAAACCUUUUCGGGGAAUCCCUGUCCUCGCUGUGGGAGACUUUCACCAACUACCGCCUCUUGGUAAAGCCAAACCACUCUGCGUGUACGAAGAGGAUGUUUUGGACUUCUGGAAAGACCAUUUCCAAAUGGUUACCCUCUCGGAGAUCACACAUCAGAAAGAAGACCUUGCUUUUGCCCAACUUCUGAACCGACUACGAGUGAAGCAGAAGACCGAAGCUCUUGGUGAAGAAGAUAGGGCUUUGUUACUCCAGGCUGUGAAGAACCCCAAAGACUGCCCAUGUGAUGCACUGCACAUAUUUGCCACAAACAAGGAAGUUCAUGGACACAAUACAAAAACGAUACACGCUCUUCACGCUGAUGUCAUAACCGUUGAUGCCGACGACUACAGGAAAGACCCAAGAACAGGAGGCAUGAAGAGACUAAAAAAGCCUGUCAUUGGAAAAAAGGACGACUUGCUUGACACCAUACCAAUUGCAGUGGGAGUAUGCAUAAUGGUGACUAGGAAUCUGGCUUUUGAAGAUGGACUUGUUAAUGGAUGUUUCGGUAAGAUUGCAAAUAUUGUCACUGAAACAAAAGAUGGAAUCCCUACCAUACAGAUGCUAGGACUUCAGCCCAAACGCAGGCAAGAAACACCGCAGCAGGGUUCAAGGUGAAGAAGACAAUUUGGUUUAUAUUGGGAGAUCUGAAGAACAUCUAAGUAAAGGAGCAGUUCGUUGACAAUUCCCCAUCAAGUUAGCCUAUUCCUGCACAGCUCACAAAGUUCAAGGCAUGCCACUGCAGAAGGCCGUAGUGUCUCUGAAGAAGAUUUUUGAGCCAGGAAUGGCAUAUGUUGCCCUCAGCAGAAUGACUUCACUUUGUGGAUUACAAGUUAUGGACUUCAGUGAAAACAAGAUUUAUGCCAAUCCUGCAGUCACAGCCUCAUUGCAAAAUAUGACGCAAGCAUCAUUCAAAGGAAUCAUGCCACUUUUGCAGCAAAUGAGGGAAAACAACAUGGAUGAAACACUCAAUCAUUCAACACAACAUGGAAGGCCUGUCAUUCCACAUCGAAGAUGUCAGAUGCCAUCAUGAACUUCUACUGUCGGAUAUUCUUUGUGUAACGGAAACUCACCUAAUUGGAUCAUUCGUUACACCCCAUCUCCAAUUGGAAGGCUACAACCUAUUUGUGCGUAACAGACAUGCCUCCUACUCAACACAUCAAGAAAUUGCCAAGAAAGAUGGAGGUGGAGUCACAAUAUAUUGCAAAAAGCAUAUUUUAGCUCAGCCUAGGCAAUAUAUACAAAAUGUGACUGAUCUGGAGUUUGUUGUCAUCAAAAUCGAUAGUCCAACGAAAGCAACAAUUGCUGUUGUGUACAGGCCACCACACUAUGGUUUUGAAGAGUUCUUGGAAAAACUUGAAGAGCCUGUUGGAUUAUUUGGACAUGAUGGACAAACAUCCUGUCGUUGUCUGCGGAGACUUUAAUGAGGACCUCCUAUGCGCAGGGAAUAAAAAGUUCUGGAAUUAUUUAAAUCUAAAGGAUACAUUCAACUGAUCACCACAGCAACAACAAAAAAGCACACGCUCCUGGAUCACAUUUACAUCUCUCAUCCGGAUUUGUGCCUUCAAUCGGAACUGGGACACGCAUUAAUGGUGCCAGUGGGGCUUUGACAGCCUUAACCAACGGGUUGCCAUUGAGCUACCAGGAAAGUAGAGCCUCAGCAGCAGGAAGGACGAAGUAAGGAGUAGUGUGGCAGCUCUAGGGAGGACACAGACAGUGAGAGCAAUGGUGGCGGUAAGACAGCAAGUUGCAGGAAGAAUUUGGAGACCAUAGCAAUCCUGUCCAAGACCGGAUAUGAGUCUGCAAUAUACCAUCUAAAGCUAAGUUUUUAAUGAUUUCGCUUCAGUUUUACUUGCUUUUAUUUUUCUCAUUUGUUUUGCUUGUAUUUUUCUCAUUUGCAAGUCGCUUUGGAUAAAAGCGUCUGCUAAGUGAAUAAAUGUAAAUGUACUGCACAUUAAAACCACAUUUGCAGGAAAAUGUUCAAUCUUGAUCUAAUUUUGAUUUCCAGCAACCAGCCAAUUGAAGUCAGAAUUUCUGAGAUCAAGUGUGCUACAAUGCUGAUGGAUGUGCUAAUUUCAUUCUGUAAGGUUUAGGCUAUAUCCAGCCUGUAGGCCGUGCCAGAUCCAGCGGCCAGAUGGCAGGAGAUGCUUCAUUAGACCACUGAAUACAUCUAAUCAUUGGAUUAUCAAUUA